GCUGUAGUGGGUAUUAUUGUAGGAAUCACGGAGGCCACAGCAGCCGCACUAUUAUACAGACGGCGCUGGCGGCGCCGGUAUUUUCGUAUUCAACGCGACAGGUAGAAUACGAAGCUACGGCGUGUUGUUAUUGCUCCGUCUUCAACGGUUGUCGUGCGAGCUGCGUCGAUGUGUUUGUUUGACCGUGUGUUAUUAGGUUUGCUGUAAUGAAAUGAGACGUAGUUCGCGAGCACGAAAGUGCCAGAAGAUGGCUUGAGUCUCGCUGUAAGCACGCCGUAUGCGUGGCGCGCCAGCUAAAUGUGGACCAACGAUUUUCAUGCCAUGGAGUGCGUUCCCUUUGUCUCCGCUUGUGUUCGUGGAAAGUUUGGUGGACGGCGCAGAGAAGUAAUGCGUAUUAUUAGCGCGCCUCAGCUCGUCCACUACCCAGUGGCUUGUUUGCUGCAAGUAACAUCGCAGACGCAUCACUGGAAACUUGGAGAGUGCCUUUCGACCUCGUCGUACUGUUGAAACGUGGCGAGGCCGUGACCCACAACAUUAACUACAAGAUCGAGGAGCCCCAAGAAAUGCCGACCCUGUGGAUAUAUGGCUGCAGCAGCAUGGCGUGUGAUCUGGAUCGUCAUGACAGGCUCCACCGUCGCCGUUACUAGACGGACCAAAUGAGGCCAAAAACUAGCCUUUCCUCGCUCCAUUCCUGGGAAGUGAAAUAGCAGGUGGUCAUGUAAGAAUGAACUUGCAACCAUGUGGGCAGUAGCCAAAGCUCCCUACAGUUCAUGCUGGUGGUGGAAUGAUAAGACAAACCGCAAUAUUUAUUUGUUUACUUAUUCACUUAAUAUUUAUUUAUUCAUAUCUCAUGAAUACUGUGCAGUUUUUUUAGCAAGGAGUCAGGUAAAAUAAAGAAAUAUUGUUGCAUCAAAGUAAACGUUAUUUGAAAAAGCAUAAUUCACGUAGCACGAAUUCAUGGAAACUGUAAAUUUUGAAGAAACAGAGCAGUAAGGUUAACAAAUCUUAUAUAACAAAAAAUGAGAUCACAUUUCUGUUGGACCUAAUACCAUAAUUUAAUCUGUCAAAUUAGAGAUACCAUAUGCUGGUCUAAUAUACAAUCACUAAUUUAUGAAUAGAUGCGCGAAACUCUCAAACGUUGCAACAAUUUCAUGCUAGCUGUAAAUUCAUAUAUACAGUUUGUUGACUUUAGACAUAGCCGAUGGAGUCUGCAGAACUAUGAUAUCUCUUUCUGGCACAGAAACGGGCAUUAGUAAGCUUCGUGGUGUUAUUUUUCUUAAACCUGCCAAAUAGUCCUUCCUGCAACAGGUAGAAUUCUCAAAUGCCGCAAACUUAAUUCAAAUUAGUGCUGUGGUUGUCUCAAAAGUAUUUCUGUAUUUUGGAUGUAUUUGAGUAGGAAAAUUUACAGAAUUAACGAACUUGUGCUAGCUCUUUUUUUUAUUUACAGUUGCAAACUAAGUCCUUUUCCUUCAAGUUUUGCUAUUUUCAGCAAAUUUUAAUAAAAAUUGAUGGUGUUAAUGUAAAAACUAUAAUUUAAACAUUUUUAAAUGUAUCAAACCUCAUCAAAUUUGGUUGCAUAGUUGCCGAGAAAAACGAUUUUACUGUUCAUGUGCAUUACAUAGGAGCUCCUGAGCUAGAUCUCUUUUUUAGUCAUUGCGUGUGUCGGUCUGGUUUGUAUUUCUCACCCUAAUUAGAAUAUUGGCUCUGAUCUCAAAAUUGUUUCCCUUACAACGAAAUACAAGCUUUUAAACUUUUUACGAUAUAUGCUGUACUGCUCUAUGAUAACCCCUGUUUGCCACAUUUUUGCAGGGCCUACCAGUGCUAAUUUUACACAUAAACGUAGACUAAAAUGCUGUGUGGUUUCGGUAUAUGGUGUACUUAUCUGUGAAAGCCAUUAUUUGCCACAUUUUUGCAGCGACUGCCAGUGUUAUUUUUGCUCAGACUAAAAUGCUGUGUCGUUUCGUCAGGCUGACACAACAUUGCAGUGCACAUUCAUAUCAGUCUAUUUUCAGGCUUUAGUAUCCAAACAUUUAAUGUGCACUGCUGGAACAGGCACUCCUUUUGCAGUUUUAAUGGUAUGGUUUCUUGUCCUAGUCAAGCCUGUUAUUGCGAGGUGUCAACUGUAAUCAAGUCUGCCACUGAUUCUUUUACCUCAUGUUUCGUGUAUUUGCACCACCAGCUUGACCUGAG